rnacentral:ncRNA from 1 species
CAACCUCAACUCAUAUGGGACUACCCCCUGAAUUUAAGCAUAUUAAUUAGGGGAGGAAAAGAAACUAACAAGGAUUUUCUUAGUAGCGGCGAGAGAAAAGAAAAUAGUUCAGCACUAAGUCACUUUGUUUUUAUGGCAAAUGUAAGAUGCAGUGUAUGGAGCAUCAAUAUUCUAGUAUGAGAAAUUAACGAUUUAAGUCCUUCUUAAAUGAGGCCAUUUACCCAUAGAGGGUGCCAGGCCCGUAUAACGUUAAUGAUUACUAGAUGGCAAAAUACCAUUCUCUACCCGACUGGCCAGAACAAUCUUCAUUCCGAAGACUGUGACGGCAAAUCGACCGCAAGACUUUCGUUCAAUAACAGUCCCCUCGGUUUUGGUCAGGCAAUUAAACGCUGUUCUGGCUUCUCGAUUGGCUUCUAAAGUCAACUGGGAUCCAAGGCAGCGCGGUUUCCUACCUACCGAUGGGUGUGCUGAUAAUGCGACGUUGGUUGAUCUAAUUUUGCGGGAGCACCAUAAACGGUGGAAGUCAUGUUACCUUGCGACGGUGGAUGUCUGCAAGGCUUUUGACU